UGAGCCAUGACUAAUUAUAUGUAAUAGACCCCACAUGAUUACUCCCAUACCAUGUCCCUAUCUCUUAUUACAAUUCUAAUUUCAAGCAUGAUUCCCUUGUUAACUCUUUGAAGUAUUUGCUUGUGUUCUAAAGGCCAAUCAGUCCAUACUUGUUCUUUGCACUUGCUGGUUUAUAUGCAUAUCUUUUCAGCCAUUUUUAUGUGUUUUUUUAUUUGGAUCCUCUAUGUCCCCAACCCCUCACUUCCCUGCCUAUGAAUGCUGGAAUGAUACUGUUAUUUGGAUUUGCUCUGUGUGUGUUGUCUUGUUCUAAGUUAUUAUUCCUCUUAUUCCCUUGUU
rnacentral:lncRNA from 1 species